rnacentral:sRNA from 1 species
GCUAGCAAACAAAAAGGAAAACCAAAAUGAGAACUGGAUUAUACCACGUCUAAUCCACCAAACCCAUGAUAAGUAUCCUCUCAACGUAUAAGAAUAACCAAAACCUACUUAACCAAAUGGCAAAAAUGGGAUGCAUCGCUUCCGUGCAGAUUUCUGCAUUCGUCGCUUUAAGUAAUUCACCAACACCUCCAAGCUGAAUACGAGACACUUCAGGCCUGCAAACAUUAGCGCUUCAGGGUAGAAACAGUAAUAGGCUCAAUCUAGCAUGACCUGAAAAUCAAGAUAUAGAAAAAGUUAAAAUCGUUUUACUGCUUAAUAUUUACCACGAUUUUGAGACAGUGGAAUUGUCCCUACUACCAAGAAAUAGUACCAAUAAGAAAUAUUAUUCACACCCCCAAAAAAGGAUAGCAGGAAUUUAGAUCCUUGAGCCAGCAUCACAACCUACGUGCACGGUGCACCCAGCAAUCAUAUAUUGAUAUCCCUGAGCUUCUCUUGAAUAGUACAUAUUCUGCCCUUGAUGCCCCUAAAUCCAGGCUAUGUGCAACCUGAGCUAACAUGGGUGGCACAUCAAACAGGCAGUGUAUGCUUCUGCUCAUCAACCCCAAAUUUUGUUCCAGCUGGUCUCUUCUUUUGAUUUAUCAGUAUGCCUUCUUCAGUAAUGGAGCAAGGUAAUUAGGUAAACCAGGACAUAUGUUCCAUGUUUAAUGCCAAAUCCUGUACAGACAGAAGCCAAAAUAAAUAAAAGGAAAGUAAAGGUGUAAAACAUUAGGAAAGAUAUCCUUACAAACAACUGUCAGAAAAAAAUAUAUUUGUGUCUAAACAAAAGAAAUAAUGAUUUCCAACACACUCAUUUCCCAUUUAGCCAUUUCUGUAACUGUUACCAUUAUGAGGGAGCUUGUUCUGACCCACCCUGAAUUCAAUCCCUAGGAUGACAUAGUGUGUCUCAUUUGUUUAGAAUAUGCACAUGCAUGUGUGUUCAACGGACAAGUUGGACCUUGGUUUCUUGGAUGUCUGAGUUUCUCUGGAGUUUGUAGUAAAAGAUGCAUGUGUGUGCUGUGAGUGGGUGCGUGAUUUGGUAGCUUCUAAUUUCUACUGUAGAAAUCAGAUAACACAGUUAUCAUAUUACUAACAAGACUUAUACUCAUUUGGAAGCUUAUCAAAAGUUUCAAACUUUCAAGUUUCAACUAAUACAGCAACUAAAGAAAUCACAUAAGAAAAAAUAUGCUGAUAUAACUAUUGCACAGGAACAAAAAUUGCAUACCUUUUCCUUUUGGCUUUGAAGAAGUGUUUUUUUUUUCUUUUUGCAGAUAAUAUUCAUCAAUAGGCACAUAGAUAGAAGUCACCAAUAAUCUCCACAUGAGCAUUGGUAUUGUUUGAAGUGAUGAAACCUAUUAUUGUCCCUCACAAUUAUCUCUCUACCAACGAUACCAGAUAUGAACUUGAAUGCGCGAUGACAAUCCACACAUAUUCUCAGGUUCUUCAUGAUUCUUAUAGGUACACCAGGUGGUAUGCAAAUAAGUCCAAAGGCCAGAGCAAGCUUCUCACUGUGUUGGAACACCUCUGAUUCUUUCUCUUCUUCCUCAAGAUCAUAAAGGGAAUAUUGUGUGUCUGGCAUGUAUCCAGCAGCUUGCAUUUGCUUUCUGAGCUUGCUUAGUAACGCCUGGAUCUCAUUAUACAUUUCAUGUUUGGUGUCCUUUGCUCGGAAAACAUGAACAACAUUUUUCCAGGUAACCCAGCUGCAACCCGGGUCCUUCUUUAUUCCAACAUUCUUCAUCUCCUUCCUUAUAUCUGUUGCUUCUGCCCACCUGGACAAGUUUGAAAGAUACAUUAAGUAAAUAACAAAAGAGUAAAGUGCACGGGUGGUCCAUAAACUUGUAUUGGUGUGUCACCUAGGUCCCUGAACUAUCAAAAUGCAUUUUUGGGUCCCUCAACUUGUCUCGGGUGUCAUAUAAGUCCAAACGGGCUCUAAACCGCUCCGUGUGCUAACGUGGCAUGCCAUGGUGGUGCCUACGUGUCAGUAGAACCCAUAUGUCAGUCACAUAUAGAAAAAAAUUAAGAACAUAUUUUUUUCUCCUCUCUUUUUUAUUUAUUUUUCAAAAUUAAAAACUUCCUUUUCUCCUCAAUCUCCCCUCUUUUUAAAUUUUAUUUUUUCAAUGUGAGUGACAUG